UGGAGAGAAGCUCCUAGGAGUCAUGGCCUGGAUCAUGCCCAUUUCUGUUGCCCUGUCCACAUUUGGAGGAGUUAAUGGGUCUCUCUUCACCUCCUCUCGGCUGUUCUUCGCUGGAGCCCGAGAGGGCCACCUUCCCAGUGUGUUGGCCAUGAUCCACGUGAAGCGCUGCACCCCAAUCCCAGCCCUGCUCUUCACAUGCAUCUCCACCCUGCUGAUGCUGGUCACCAGCGACAUGUACACACUCAUCAACUACGUGGGCUUCAUCAACUACCUCUUCUAUGGGGUCACGGUUGCCGGACAGAUAGUCCUUCGCUGGAAGAAGCCUGAUAUCCCCCGCCCCAUCAAGGUGAGAGAACCUCCCUUUGGGGUCCCCUCCCCUUCCUCUAUGGUUCUAGCUGCAGUUCAGAUUUUUAAAUCACCUCUGUUCUUAGCUGCUGACCACACAUCAUCAUCUCUGAUGGUAGCAGACCCUUUGGAAAGCAAGGGCCAUUUGUGAAUGGGACCACUAUUUCCAUUCUCCACUGGGGAUGAGAUCGGAGCAGACUGCAGCUGGGGAAUAAGUCAGAUCAAAUGUGACUUUCAUCAUGACAUUCCUUUGUUUCCUACCAGUCUAAGCCUUAAACUCCAGCUGACUUUUCAAGGUUCUCUUAUCUCCCCAACACUUCCUCCUUGUCCCUCCAGAUAGCUGGGCUCACUAUGUGCUAUGUCUCCAUCCCAGAAUGACUUUUCUCCUCCC
rnacentral:sRNA from 1 species